GCUGCCGAUAGCUCAUUCGGUUAAGGCACUGCGUUGCAGGGCAGUAGUGACUAUCAUGUCGCGGGUUCGAGCCCCGGUCGUACCA